UAGUCCACGCCGUAAACGAUGAUAACUAGUUGUUUGCCAUACACCGUAAGCGACAAAGCGAAAGCAUUAAGUUAUCCACCUGGGGAGUACGUUGGCAACAAUGAAACUCAAAGGAAUUGACGGGGGCCCGCACAAGCGGAGGAACAUGUGGUUUAAUUCGAUGAUACGCGAGGAACCAUACCUGGACUUAAAUGUAGAUUGACAGGACUAGAGAUAGCUUUUUCUUCGGACAAUUUACAAGGUGCUGCAUGGUUGUCGUCAGCUCGUGCCGUGAGGUGUCGGGUUAAGUCCCAUAACGAGCGCAACCCACGUCGUUAGUUACUAACAGGUUAAGCUGAGGACUCUAGCGAGACUGCCGGUGUAAACCGCGAGGAAGGUGUGGAUGACGUCAAAUCAGCACGGCCCUUAUGUCCAGGGCUACACACGUGUUACAAUGGCUAGUACAAAGGGCAGCUAUCUGGCAACAGAAUGCUAAUCUCGAAAACUAGUCUCAGUUCGGAUCGAAGU
rnacentral:rRNA from 1 species